rnacentral:siRNA from 1 species
CCACUUGCCUUGUGUUCGAUGCA